GUCUAUAAUAGUCGGUGGAAGGCUGGUUAAACCGUUUGGUUUUCGACCACUACGACCCGGGUUCGAUUCCCGCAUUGGACA